rnacentral:rRNA from 1 species
GAUGAACGCUGGCGGCGUGCCUAACACAUGCAAGUCGAACGAAGCGUCUUAAAGGAAGUUUUCGGAUGGAAUUUGGGAUGACUGAGUGGCGGACGGGUGAGUAACGCGUGGAUAACCUGCCUCAUACAGGGGGAUAACAGCUAGAAAUGGCUGCUAAUGCCGCAUAAGCGCACAGGACCGCAUGGUCUGGUGUGAAAAACUGAGGUGGUAUGAGAUGGGCCCGCGUCUGAUUAGGUAGUUGGCGGGGUAACGGCCCACCAAGCCGACGAUCAGUAGCCGACCUGAGAGGGUGACCGGCCACAUUGGGACUGAGACACGGCCCAG